UCUCCGUUGGUGAACCAGCGGAGGGAUCAUUACAGAGUUGCAAAACUCCCAAACCAUUGUGAACGUUACCUAUCCCGUUGCUUCGGCGGGCGGCCCGGGCCCCGCGCCCGGCGCCCCCCGGCCCCCCGUGGGCGCCCGCCGGAGGUAAACCAAACCCUUGAAUUGCAUGGCCUCUCUGAGUCUUCUGUACUGAAUAAGUCAAAACUUUCAACAACGGAACUCUUGGUUCUGGCAUCGAUAAAGAACGCAGC
rnacentral:misc_RNA from 1 species